UCAAUAAGCGGAGGAAAAGAAACUAACAAGGAUUCCCCUAGUAACUGCGAGUGAAGCGGGAAAAGCUCAAAUUUAAAAUCUGGCGGUCUUUGGCCGUCCGAGUUGUAAUUUAGAGAAGCGUCUUCCGCGCCGGACCGUGCACAAGUCUCCUGGAAUGGAGCGUCAUAGAGGGUGAGAAUCCCGUCUUUGGCACGGAUGCCCGGUGCUUCUGUGAUGCGCUCUCGAAGAGUCGAGUUGUUUGGGAAUGCAGCUCAAAAUGGGUGGUGAACUCCAUCUAAAGCUAAAUAUUGGCGAGAGACCGAUAGCGAACAAGUACCGUGAGGGAAAGAUGAAAAGCACUUUGGAAAGAGAGUGAAACAGUACGUGAAAUUGUUGAAAGGGAAACGCUUGAAGUCAGUCGCGUCGACCGAGACUCAGCCUUGCCUUGGCUUGGUGUACUUCUCGGCCCGACGGGUCAGCGUCAAUUUUGCUCCUCGGAUAAUGGCAAGGGAAAGGUGGCACCUUCACGGGUGUGUUAUAGUCUCCUGUCGCAUGCGAGGGGUGGGAUUGAGGAACUCAGCGCGCACCUUGGUGUCGGGGCUUCUGCCCACGUCACGCGCUUAGGAUGCUGGCGUAAUGGCUUUAAACGACCCGUCUUGAAACAC
rnacentral:rRNA from 1 species